GGAUUUCCUUAGUAGAGGCGAUCGAAACGGAAUGAGCCCAGCGCAUAACCUCCCGGGCCACUUGGCCUGAGGCGGAAUGUUGCGUACGGAUGUACGGCGCUUACCCUACGACCACGCACUGCUAAGUCAGCCACGAAUGGUUCUAUGCCGUUAAUUCGGUGAGACUCCAUGGAGGGUGUUAGACCCGUGUGAGUGCGUGUUAGAAGUCGCUAUGGGCAUUGCUGUCAUCCUGAGAGUCGCGUUGUUUGAACAUGCAGCGCUAAGCAGGUCGUAGACUCGAUCUAAGGCUAAAUAUAUCCACAGAACCGAUAGUGAACAAGUACCGUGAGGGAAAGUUGAAAAGCACUCCGUAACGGAGAGUCAAAAGACCGUGAAACCGCUCAGAGUAUAAGCCAAUGGCGUCUGGACGGCCCUGUGCUGACACCUUGUGUGUAUCCGGACUGCGGACAGGACGUGCUCGAUUCACCCGGUGGCCUCUUUUUCUCAGAGAAUUCACAUCAUCUCUGUGGGAGGUUGCCUGCGUGUGGUCGUCACUCUCCUGUCUGUGCACAGUCCAAGCAGCAUCUUGAUGGCCCACCGAGCUCGUUGCGAGGUCACCCGAAUGGUGGAGCGUAUGAGUCGUCAGCACCGGGACUUGAGCACUGCGUCUCUUGUCUCGCGCAACCUGCUGUCACGCGCUCCCUCCAUGUGCUCCGAGACACUCGGGCGCAUGGAGGUCACCACCUAACUCUGGUAUGAUCCUCCUGCGACGUAGCUGUUGAUUGCAGAGGGGCGGCAAUCCUUCAUUCUCGGAGGUGCGCUCGCGCGGUCUGUCUCAGCCUCUUUGUAAGAGGCGAGCUCCGCUGUCCUCUCUCGCUUCUCUAGGUGAUAUGUCCGACUCUAUCGGUCACGUCUCGAAACACGGGCCAAGGAGUAUAGCAUGUGUGCAAGUCUAAGGGUCCCACAAAACCCGCAGGCAAAGUGAAAGCAAGUGAUGGUGGCGAGGCGCAUUCAUGCGCCCCGUCAGAUCCAAGUCUUAUUUGGCCGGCUCGCAAGAGCUGCUGGGCUGAUGGACUGACAGUGUUAUGGUGCUCUGUUGUCUCGCAAGCCCCGGGCUCGCAUUAGACACUCACUUGUGUGUGUCUUGCGAGCACCGUGGAGCAUGCAUGCUAUGACCCGAAAGAUAGUGAACUAUGCCUGGCGAGAGUGAAGCCCCAGGAAACUGGGGUGGAGGCUCGUAGCCGUUGUGACGUGCAAAUCCA
rnacentral:rRNA from 1 species